rnacentral:rRNA from 1 species
GAUGAACGCUGGCGGCGUGCCUAAUACAUGCAAGUCGAGCGAACAGACGAGGAGCUUGCUCCUCUGACGUUAGCGGCGGACGGGUGAGUAACACGUGGAUAACCUACCUAUAAGACUGGGAUAACUUCGGGAAACCGGAGCUAAUACCGGAUAAUAUAUUGAACCGCAUGGUUCAAUAGUGAAAGACGGUUUUGCUGUCACUUAUAGAUGGAUCCGCGCCGCAUUAGCUAGUUGGUAAGGUAACGGCUUACCAAGGCAACGAUGCGUAGCCGACCUGAGAGGGUGAUCGGCCACACGGGAACGGAGACACGGUCAAGACUCCUACGGGAGGCAGCAGUAGGGAAUCUUCCGCAAUGGGCGAAAGCUUGACGGAGCAACGCCGCGUGAGUGAUGAAGGUCUUCGGAUCGUAAAACUCUGUUAUUAGGGAAGAACAAAUGUGUAAGUAACUAUGCACGUCUUGACGGUACCUAAUCAGAAAGCCACGGCUAACUACGUG